rnacentral:rRNA from 1 species
UUCGCAAUGCCCGAAAGGGUGACGAAGCGACGCCGCGUGCGGGAAGAAGGCCUUCGGGUUGUAAACCGCUGUCGGGAGUUAAGAAAUGCAAGGGUGUUAAUGGUAUCCUUGCUUGACUAAGGCUCCGGAGGAAGCCACGGCUAACUCUGUGCCAGCAGCCGCGGUAAUACAGAGGCGGCAAGCGUUGUUCGGAAUUAUUGGGCGUAAAGAGCACGUAGGCGGCCGUGUAAGUCGGUUGUGAAAGCCUUCCGCUCAACGGGAGAACGGCAUCCGAUACUGCAUGGCUUGAGUGCGGGAGGGGAGAGUGGAACUUCUGGUGGAGCGGUGAAAUGCGUAGAUAUCAGAAGGAACACCGGCGGCGAAGGCGACUCUCUGGCCCGUAACUGACGCUGAGUGUGCGAAAGCUAGGGGAGCAAACGGGAUUAGAUACCCCGGUAGUCCUAGCCGUAAACGAUGGGCACUAAGUAGAGGGGUUUU